rnacentral:lncRNA from 11 species
GAAAAUAAUAUUCAUUUUGCAUACUUGCACUUUAUCUGUAUGGGGGGGGGGAGUAUUCUGAUGUUUUGUUUUGUUUUUCUAAUUACAAAGUCUUCUAUUCUGGGACCCACCCUUUUGUGUGGAACCUGGUUCAGUUGUAUAGUUUGCAUAAUAAGGAAUCCUUUCCAUUGAAAAUUCCCCUGGUGUCCGCUUCCCCUGAUGCCCUAAACAGGGCCGCAUUGAGCUCCAGAGUGAAUCCGGCCUUUCCCAAGAAAGAAAAGAUGGUUCACUAAACCACUUUGGGUGAAAUAUUGAGAUCUGCAGUCUGGAGGGGCCCUGCUCUCUUUGGCAGACCUUGUGAAACUACAAUUCCCCUAAAUCCACAACAAGGAGCCCUGACAGUCCAGUUGGGUUCAAACUAGCUGCACAUGGAAGGGAGUAGCCCUGUGGGGAGUUUGCUUCUGUUUCUUUUGUUUAUUUCUCGACAGAGAAAUAAACUCUCUGAUCCAUCUGAGUCAUACUGGGGGGACUGGUUUCACGAACAACGUCAGGAGGAUCGAGCAUCAGUUUCGCUCAGACUUGAGCCUCUCCCUUGUCCUCUUUUUGUACGGAAACCGAAGGACUGAAAGCGAAGGAGGGAGCCGGCUCUCCCCGUCCCGUUUCAGACACGCGUGAUUCCCCGAAGGGUCUUUAAGCGUCUUUGGAGAGGGCCGAGGGCUCCAGUAUCUUCUCCUCCCCUUCUUUCGGGGGCUCAAAGGGGGCCAAGGGGGGAACCAGGACGAAGAGAUGGUCGGCUACAAGGAAGAGAGUGUUUGCCGACUGAUGGCAGGAUUUGUUCAGAGGUGUUUGCAUCUGAGGCUGAGAGAGUGUGUGACUCGCUCUCCCUGCCUGAGCUGAGAGUCCCACCUUGAAGGGUUUUUUUUUUCCGUGUCAGGACUUGAGAAACUGCAAGUUGCUUCUGGUGUGAGAGAAUUGGCUGUCUGCAAGGACGUUACCCAGGGGACUGCGAGGAUGUUUUUAUGUUUUUACCAUUUUUGUGGGAAGCUUUUCUCAUGUCCCACUAUGGAGCUGGAGCUGAUAGAGAGAGCUCAUCCGAGCUGGGAUGGAGUCCAACCGGCAAACUUCAGGUCAGCAAGGCAACCUUCAGGUCAGCAGUCCUGAUGGCACAAGGGUUUAACCCACUGCGCCCGGGAAGCUGGGAAGCCGCGAAUGGAUCCUUACCUCUGAAAUGCAUCGGUUUCUUCUUCCUCCGGCUGCUGCUGCUUCCUCCCUUUUGGCCUGGCCAGGAGAGGGAUCCCUUUCUGGAAGCGUGGCUAGGAGCGCAGCCUUGGGGUCUGGAUGGCGCCCACCUGCCUUCACGUCGAGAAAAGGACGAGAUGGAAAGCCAUUUGGAGGCGCCUUCUAAGGUCUGCUGGGAGGGAAACAAGCCAAGGCUCCCCGGGAUGCGGGAUUUCUUCAGAUCCAGAAGACGGCUGUCGUUCGCCUUGAGAAAAACUCGGAGGACGUUUCUUCUGCAGUUCUCUAAAUAAACGGUUUUUGGCCCCCUCUGAGUCGUGUGGAGACCCUUUCUUCCCUUGCU